GUACGCAACCCCGUCCAUUCCCCUCCCCCGACCCCGAGCGGUCGAGCGCCGCCUCCGCCGGCUUCCGUCGUCGACCACCUCCUGGUGCUGCCGUCGUCAACCACCUCACCGUAGACCACGAAGCCGCAGUACUGGAGGGAAAGAGGAGAAGAGGAGGGAGCACAGCGCGUGCAGCUGCCUGCCGUCGAGUUGAGGGUCGACCGCCGCCAUCUCCACCUGUCCGCCGUCGACCACCUCCUCGCCGGCUCGCUGCUGUCGAUAAGAGAUGACCACGAAGCUGGAGGAGGGGGAGGAUGUGCCUGCACCUGCACGCCGUCUCCCCUGCACCUGUUCGAUCUCCUCUGUCCUCUCCUCUGCAUUAUCCCAUCUCUGACCGAGGUGCCGCAUGGCAUUGAAUCUUCUUAGGAAUGAGUUCUAUGAUGUGCGUGACAAGCUAGAGACCAUUAUGCAGUUGGAGCAGCAGAUUGUAGCCUUGGGUCCUAAGUAGCAGUAAUCGAAGCCAAAAAAGCAUAGCCCCAUGUGACCUGGCACGAUGGGGUGUAUGUAUCUCUGAAGAUGUAGGCAACAUUCAGUGGUAGCUGGGCUUUGGAGGGGCCUCAUCGAAUAAUAUGAUAAUUCUUGUUUCGGCACUCCGCGAUCGCGACCACCCUGCAGAUGGAACUUGUGGUCUUGUUUGUCGAUGUCUUUGUCUGUCAAAUAUAUAUACUUGUGCCUCGUGGAUGGCCCGCGGACUGGGCAUAAACUCUAUACUUGGUUGUU